AACGAACGCUGGCGGCAUGCCUAACACAUGCAAGUCGAACGAGACCUUCGGGUCUAGUGGCGCACGGGUGCGUAACGCGUGGGAACCUGCCCUUAGGUUCGGAAUAACUCCCCGAAAGGGGUGCUAAUACCGGAUAAUGUCUUCGGACCAAAGAUUUAUCGCCUUUGGAUGGGCCCGCGUUGGAUUAGCUAGUUGGUAGGGUAAAAGCCUACCAAGGCGACGAUCCAUAGUUGGUCUGAGAGGAUGAUCAGCGACACUGGGACUGAGACACGGCCCAGACUCCUACGGGAGGCAGCAGUGGGGAAUAUUGGACAAUGGGCGAAGGCCUGAUCCAGCAAUGCCGCGUGAGUGAUGAAGGCCUUAGGGUUGUAAAGCUCUUUUACCCGGGAUGAUAAUGACAGUACCGGGAGAAUAAGCACCGGCUAACUCCGUG
rnacentral:rRNA from 1 species